rnacentral:lncRNA from 1 species
GUACCCGUCCAUGGUAUUUCUUGGUGUCUUCAUAAUGUACUGGCUAAUAUCACUCCUCAUAGUGAGUGAUCUAAGAGAAAGAACAGAGAGGAAACCAUGAUGCCUUUUUAGUCUUAGAAGUAAAUCCUUUUAUUUCUACCACUUUCUGUUUGUUAGAAGUGAGUCACCAAGUGUAGCCAACACUCAAGGGGAGAGGAAUUAGACUAGGAGGAACAUCAGAGAUUUGUGAAUGUACAUUAAAACUACCACAAGCAUUACUCAAGUUUUACUCAUUGUCCCAACCAUGCCCUUUAUAUCAAAAGAAAGUACAGGAUCAUCUGCCUUUUUGUGCUCUUUAAUCUCAUUCAUUGUCUUUCACAACACUGACAUUUCAGAAGAGCAUGGCCAGUUGUUCUAUAGAUUCUCUCAAUUUGAAUGUCUGAUAUUUCCACAUGAUUAGAUUAAAUAUUUUAAAAUUUCUUGCCAGGUCAUUAAUGCAUUUAAAAAAGUGUUUAAUUUUGUGUUUUAAUAUUUAUCUAACAGUUUGGCUUAGGCUGUCUUUUGCAUGAGAGUCCUUUGGAUAUCUUUUUCACCAACUGCUAGAAACCAAAACAGUGUUUCCUAUUUUAAUGCUUACUUGUACAGAGAGUAUUAAAUUAUUUUACUUCCUCUCAAAGCUUUGAUGGUUGUCACUGGACAUCGUGGUAACUACUACUUGUUAAAACUGAGAGAUACUGCUCUCUUAUCAUUCCUAUUGUAUGAUUCCCCAAAUUAUUUUAUGUGCCUUGUGGAAGGGGUUUAUACUCUGUUCCAAACUUUCUCUUAAUGGUAAGCUAGUAAGUUGGAUCCUCACCAAAUGAUACCAUAUUUACAGUGGCUGUUGAUAAUCAUAGCUAACAAUCAUUGAGUGCUUACUAUAUUUCAACAUUCUAGAUACAUUUGCAAGUAUUAACUAGUUUAAUCUUUUCAAUGUCUUAUGAAUUGGAGGCCAUUAUGAUUUAUGUUUUACUGACUGGAGAGUGAAUAAUGGUAAAGGUGUGAGCCAGAUUCAGGCAGUCUGUCUCCAGAGAUUGUACCCCUAAUUGCUAUGCAUUACUAGCAUGAAGAGGAAUGCCUCCUGUAAAGUUAUGAGAUAUUUGUAAACCUCUAUGUGAAUGUAACAUUUCCAAGGCAAGAGGAGCAGGAGUUAGGAGGGAACAUAAAAAAAAUCUUCCUCUCCCCUCCCCCAACUGAAGAAACCAAAGCUUAAAGAAAGUAUUUACUACUCAGGGAUAAAGGGAUAAAGUUGAGACAAAAUUUAGAUCUCCAGAUACCCAAUCAGUCCCAUUCACUUUCCAUCAUAGCAUACUGUAAAUUUCUAAUAAAAUGAAAGUAGAUGCCCUGCACUCAAUUAUUUCACCAGGGACAAAUGAUAUAAUUCAAAGUUGAAUUCUAAAAUUAGUGUGCAGCAUAUGCCAUACAUUAAUUAAACAUGAACUGCUUUUACUUUUUAAUUUUUUUAAUUUUUAUUUUUUUGACUUUUUGCAUUUUCUAGGGCCACACCUGUGGCAUAUGGAGGUUCCCAGGCUAGGGUUCUAAUUGGAGCUGUAGCCACCAGCCUAUGCCAGAGCCACAGAAGUGCAGGAUCCAAGCUGUGUCUGUGACCUACACCACAGCUCACAGCAACGCUGGAUCCUUAACCCACUGAGCAAGGCCAGGGAUUGAACCCGCAACCUCAUGGUUCCUUGUCGGAUUCGUUAACCAUUGAGCCAUGAUGGGAACUCCUUACUUGCUUUUUUAGAACAUAAAAGGGCUUUGUGGGAAUGAUUUGGAUAACCCAUGCAUUUUUGCUCAGAUAAUCUGGUUAGUUCAAAUUUUUUCUUUUGUCCUAAGCAAAUAUAUUUGACAUAAUUUCUUUGCUCAUUUAAGAGUAAUCUUAGCAAAUGUCAUUUUGGCUUUUUGGCUUUUUUUUUUUUUUUUUGCUAUUUCUUUGGGCUGCUCUCGCGGCAUAUGGAGGUUCCCAGGCUAGGGGUCUAAUCGGAGCUGUAGCCGCCAGCCUACGCCAGAGCCACAGCAACGCGGGAUCCGAGCCGCAUCUGCAACCUACACCACAACUCACGGCAAUGCCGGAUCAUUCACCCACUGAGCAAGGGCAGGGACCAAACCCGCAACCUCAUGGUUCCUAGUCAGAUUUGUUAACCACUGCGCCACGACGGGAACUCCCUGCAAAUGUCAUUUUGAACAUACUCCUGAAAAGUUAUCAAGUAGAUAAAAUAUGCAACUAUAAAGAGGACCCAUUGCGUACAUACCCAUUUAGUAAAACAAUCAAGUUAUUCAUGUUAUUUAGUAUUGGCAUGUGAAAUUGAUCAACUUAUAUAGUGUAGUUGGCAGUAUUUAGUGAUGUAACCCUUCAGAUGUCUAUGGAUCAAUUACUAUUAUUUUUGCUAUAAUGUUAUUUUAUAAUACAUUGAUUGUUUUAAAGUGGUACUCAAGGCACCUCCAUACUUAGUGUCUUGCUUUAUGAUACUUAGCCAAGAAUGAUGAUGUUCAAAAUGGGUAUGUCUUGUACUUCUGAAUGGGAGCCAACCAUUCAGAACACAAAUCAGCCCAAAACAAUGCCAGACAGUGUACAUUGGAUACAUUUGAGCUGUAAUAUACAUAGAGACAGUAUGGAGAUAAUGAUUCUCUUGUGUUUUAUCCUCUUAUUUGUAUUGGGUUGAUAUUCUUCUAUUGAUUUUUCUUUUCAUUAUUACAUCCCCUCCUACUAGCAUAAACUUACUUGAAAGGGAAAUGCAUCAUGCAGGCAGAGUUUAAAAGCAGAAAGUUGAUGGUUAUUUAUGGGCUGAUUAAAUUUUUGUAUCCUAUUAUGGGGAUGCAGGAUAUUUAGUCAGUUUUCCUGUCCUUCUAGGCAUACUAGAGGAAUACACUUUUCUAUCCCUUUACCAUCGGGUUGGGCCAUGUGGCUGUUUUGAUCAAUGGGAUCUGAAAAGAAGUGGUUGAAUGAAUCAUACUGAGCCUAAGAAUUUAAUUGCAAGAAUUUCUUCCCUUGACAAGAUGAUCGAGGAGGUCUCUUUCUCCCAGAUUAUGGAGCCUCCAUUAAUUUGGAAACUCGAGUGGUACAUGAAGCUGUCCUAUGUAGGAUUUUCAUGUAGCAUCAGUGAGAAAUAAACUGCUAUUUCAGUAUGCCAUUGAGUUUUGAGGUUUGUUUGUAAUAGUACCCCGACUAAUAUAUGUCCAACAGAAUAUUUAAUAAAUAUUUUUGAAUGAAAGAAUUAGACUUUCUUAAAAUUAAAUAAUUUCAAGGUUGAUCAUAAAUCAUAAAUAAUGCAAUAUUCUGUCCAGAUUUUAUCUUGAGUUUUACUGUAUCUUUAUUAUCAAUUCAACUGACAUAUUUUCCCCUGGAUUUAAUAUAUAUCCUAACCCUGAUUUGAUGUUCUCACUUGAAGCCUUUACCUCUAAUUCUAACAUGCCAUGGCUGUUGUCUCACAAGGAUUGUGUAAGGAAAGGUUAAAUAUUCCUUCCAUAUUUAUUUCUCCUUUCUUACUUUCCUCAGAAAUAGAUACCUUUAAUAAUUUGUCUAAGGAACUACUCCUUUCCAUUUUUUCUGGAGUUGUGGGAACAUGCCUUACUAGAUAAAAGGAGAUGACAAACCUACUGCCUGAAGAACCAGACAUAUUUUGCAUUCUAUAAGUCUGUUAAGUCUGUCAAAAGUGACAAGGCUUUGUUUUGGAAGAAUUCGCCCUUCAUCAUUUGAGAAUAAUGUCUGUUGUCAAGCAGACAGCAUCACCCUAUAGAGACUGGGAAUUCAGGGAUCUGUUUCUAUCCCUUUAGCAGCUCAUUCCUUUAUGAGUCCCAGAAGCACUGUGAGCCUUUAGCUGGACUUGUGGAAGUUGUCAGAAAGAAACAAACAAACAAAAUUAAGUAAUGUGGGUUUCUGCAGUGUCAAGCUUCAUUUUUGUAAGAUUUUUGAACUUUUAGAAAAUGCCCGCUCAAUAAUUGGUAUUUCAUAAAUGAAAGAAAAGUCAUAAAUAUUUAUGAAAGACAUUAACUCAACAUAAUGCAGUAUAUGAGUAUUUAACAUCUGUGUCCUAAAUAAUAUGAUGCCACUCUGAGAGGAGGGCAGUGGGAGGAAAAUGCAAAGAGAAAGCCUGUCACCAUGCUUAUACAUUAGUAGAGAAAAAAGGACAUAUGCUGAAAUCAUUGUUAUGUAAGAGAGGGAUGAUAUCUUUGAAAUGAAGUUUUAUGAUAAUAAAGUAUCAAGAGAAUUUACCUCACAUUUUUAAAAGUUGAGGGCUAGGUAACUAUGCAUAAAUCACGUAGCCUUGGAAGAUUGAAGUUCAAUAUAAAUAAAUAAAGAGUUUAAAGACUAUAGACCAGACAACAUUGGAUGUGGUCCGAGGUUGGUGAAUUGUUAGAGACUGGAAAGGCUGGAGGACUGAAUGGAUGAGUUUGUGUGGGAAUGCAUACAUCCAGAGAGAUAGUUUGGGUGCUUAUCUGAAGCAGGUAAUACAUGAAUUUGCUUUGAAAGAAGGGCCCAUUAUAAAUUUUAGGAUAGAAAAAUGAAAUGGUAUAAAAGGCCUUUUAGUUUUUUGAAAAAUUAUGUUUUACUGAAAUGUAGUACUUCAUAUGUUCUCACCAGCUCAGAUCUCCCAGAAGUACAAUUUUCCAUCAAAGAAAUGUUGAGUAGAGCCUGGUAAGUUGGUUCAGGUCUUCAGAGAGCUCUGGUGAAUGUAGUGGGUAGCUUCCUAUGAAGUGAAGUUUGGCACUUGCCAUAAGCUUCUACAUGAAUUGAAUCAUGGGCCACUGCAGCUACCAGCCCAUGGCACACCCUGAGCGGAGCUCAGGGUGAAAAUCAGGAGUGAAGCACUCUGUGUCUGGGAAGACUGGAAGAACAGGUCUUCAGAUAAUCAGAUAUUUUUAGAUUUUAUGUGUGCAAUUCUUGCACCUCCUCAUAUCUAGAAAAACAUUCAAAUCCUUCAUGGUGAUGUCUGCUUCUUGUGACCUUCAGGAAAUCAACAACAAACUUUUGUAAAAUGUGUGCCUGGCUGCAUGCACCUCCCCUUCACCUUUCUCAUAUCCUGAUUUUCCCCUUUCCUCUUUGGGUGGCAUUUCAGAGCUAUCUGAAGUACCUGGUCUGUAAUUAAGGGUAAAGCAAAGAAUGUCUUGGUCAUCUGGGAAGGCAGUCACCUCCAAAGGUGAGAGCAGGCGAGUCCUGCAGACUGACUCCUUGACUCAGGAUACUGGUCUUGACAGCAGAGGUGCAUAUCAAAGGUAUGAUUUCAGUGAACCCUGGCCUCUUUUGUUCCUGCUACCUGCCCUUUGUUGCAAAAACUCCUAUAUAUCCUAGUGCCUCCCUCUCCACCUCGGAGCAGUUUCUCAGGGCUAUCUGAGUUGCUAUCUCCCAGGAUUAAGUCCUAAUUUUGCCACAAAUAUAACUUAACUCUCGGAGGAGUUCCCAUAGUGGCUCAGCUGAAACGAAUCCAACUAGGAACUGUGAGGUUGAGGGUCUGAUCCCUGGUCUCGCUCAGUGGGUUAAGGAUCUGGCAUUUCUGUGAGCUGUGAUAUAAGUCAUAGACACAGCUUAGAUCCUGUGUUGCUGUGGCUGUGGUGUAGGCCAGCAGCUGUAGCUCUGAUUCCCUGGGGACUUCCAUAUGC